rnacentral:rRNA from 1 species
UACGUAGGUGGCAAGCGUUGUCCGGAUUUACUGGGCGUAAAGAGCGCGCAGGCGGUCGGAUAAGUCGAGUGUGAAAGCCCCCGGCUCAACUGGGGAGGGUCACUUGAUACUGGUCGACUCGAAGGCAGGAGAGGGAAGUGGAAUUCCCGGUGUAGUGGUGAAAUGCGUAGAUAUCGGGAGGAACACCAGUGGCGAAGGCGACUUCCUGGCCUGUUCUUGACGCUGAGGCGCGAAAGCUAGGGGAGCAACGGG